UGGGUAGGAUGGGGGGGGAAUUGCGAGUUUUCGAUUGGACAGCUGUCUCCUGACCUUCUAGCCCUGCCCAGUUGCGUUGAGAAAGAUGGCGGCGAUAGAAGUGGAGCGUCACCGAGGGCGUCUGGCGGCCCUGGCCAUAGCAGUGGUGGUGAUCGCUGUGGGAGUUCCCUUGUGGUGGAAGACCACUGAGACAUACAGGGCAUGGCUACCUGUCCACCCAGAUCAACCAGCUAGCUCAGCUGCAGCUCCAGUUGAGUGUGGAAGUGGAGGUGGUGUUCUCUAGAGGAACUCUGACUGCUGAACACCAGAAGAAGAUUGAUCCCACACACACACGCCUGGAGGAGCACACUG